GAUGAAGAACGCAGCGAAAUGCGAUAAGUAAUGUGAAUUGCAGAAUUCAGUGAAUCAUCGAAUCUUUGAACGCACAUUGCGCCCGCCAGUAUUCUGGCGAGCAUGCCUGUUCGAGCGUCAUUCCAACCAUCAAGCCCCAGGCUUGUGUUGGAGCCCUGCGGCUGCCGCAGCCUCCCAAAACCAGUGGCGGGCUCGCUAUCACACCGAGUGCAGUAGUUUACUCUUCGCUCAGGGCGUGUGGCGGGUGCUAGCCGUGAAACCCCCAACUUCUCAAGGUUGACCUCGGAUCAGGUAGGAAUACCCGCUGAACUUAAGCAUAUCAAUAAGCGGAGGA
rnacentral:misc_RNA from 1 species